rnacentral:rRNA from 1 species
AACGCGAAGAACCUUACCUGGACUCGAAAUCUAGUCGACCGCCUCAGAGAUGAGGCUUUCCCGCAAGGGACGGCUGGAUAGGUGCUGCAUGGCUGUCGUCAGCUCGUGUCGUGAGAUGUUGGGUUAAGUCCCGCAACGAGCGCAACCCUUACGCCUAGUUGCUCGCCCGCAAGGGAAGCACCCUAGGAGAACCGCCUCAGAUAAUGGGGAGGAAGGUGGGGAUGACGUCAAGUCCUCAUGGCCUUUAUGCCCAGGGCUACACACGUGCUACAAUGGUCGGUACAAACCGUCGCGAACCCGCGAGGGGGAGCCAAUCGGAAAAAACCGAUCUCAGUUCGGAUUGCAGUCUGCAACUCGACUGCAUGAAGCUGGAAUCGCUAGUAAUCGCGGAUCAGAACGCCGCGGUGAAUACGUUCCCGGGCCUUGUACACACCGACAUA